GCCGCCCAACAUCCCUACCGAAAGCCGCUCAACCCACCGAAAGACCCGUCAAAAAAAAAAAAGCCGCUCAACCCUAAGAUCGGGGCGCUCGUGAGGAGGUGACCUUCCCUCCCGACGACGGAUACAGCGGCGGCUAGCGGAUUCGCACGCGCGUUCCUCUUCCUAUUCAAGUUGUGGAGGUUUGAAAGAUGCCAAGAGACAAGCGCAGGCCGAGAGGCUUGAAUGAAGUACAAUAUGCCACCAAGAGAGUACUUAGGUCAAGUAGUAUCUCCAAAGUGGAAUCUGUCAAUUCUACGGAAACUGGUGAAUGUGCCGGAGAUACAGUGCAACGCACAACUGGAAGUUCCAUUGCAUUGUCAGAUGGUAAAACUAAGAUCAGUGAUAAUUUGGCGGCUGUCAAUGCUAGUAAAACUGAUGAACGUCACUUGAGUGAAGAUCUCAUUUCACAAGCUGCUGCUUCAAACUUCAAACCAACUGUUGUAUCUCUUGCUUCAUUCGAAGGAGAUACCAUGCUGGUUGAAUGCACAGGUGUAUGCAUCGAAUGCCCAGAUCCUAAUAGUGCAAGGUUUCUGACUUCAUUAAGCUUGUGUACAUCAUCAGAUGGUAGAAGGAUGGCCAGUGAUAAUUUCAGGAUUGAAGUAAGCUUCCCAAAUGGAGUUCUUGAUGGGCAGUUAGUGUAUUAUGAUUCAUAUUAUGGUAUUGCUGUUGUCAGCACCCAGCAUGUGCCUGUCUGUGAAGGAGAUCACAGGCUAGUGCUUAAUCAUGAUGAAGCACUUAAGUCUAGCAGUGAGGUAGUAGCGUUAUGGUGCUCUUCCAGUUCAGAAAAAUUAAUGGCCAAAAGUGGGCAAUUGAUUGGCCCUCUAGAUGGUACAGUCCACAAGCUUAUGUUCAGCACAUGUAAAAUCACUACGGCUGGGAUUGGAGGCCCCCUCAUUGAUAUAGAUGGGAAUUUUGUUGGCAUGAACUAUUAUAGUCAAAUGGGGGACUGCUCCCAAAAAGUGAUUACUCCCUGCCUUCCAAGGAAUUUAAUUCUAAAAUGCAUGGAGCAUUCUGGGAUACUCAGGCUUGAAACCAAGCAAGAGGGCGAUGGUACAAUAGGAAGUAGCACGGGCACGAGGGAGAUAUGUAAAUCUUCUACACAUGGUAACUUCUAUCAGGAGGGUUUCUUCACGAUGAACCCAGACCAUGAAAAAUAUGUAAAAGAAACCGCAAAAUCCUAUGGUUACCCCUUGCCAGAUCUGUUACAAGCAAACAUGUAUAUGGUCAAUACUUUUGAAGAGAAUUUUGUCAAAGAUACAUGGACUAAACUCGGAAAAGACGUUGCCUCAAAAAUGUCUGAAAGUGUUGUCCCACUUGCUUCUUUCAAUGGAAAUGCAAGGUUUUUUGCUUGCACAGGUGUAUUUAUAGGCAUAAUAACUUGCAGAUUGAAGUACGCCUUCUAAAUAAACGUCGAGCCAGAGGAAAAUUGACAUAUUGUAACUUUGAUUACAAUAUUGCUCUUGUUAACAUUGACGAGACGAUCCCGCCGCGUACAAUAGAACUCCAGCAGCCUCCUGUUACCACUGGUACUCCUGUAAGGGCUGUAGGGUGUCUCUUUGACAAACGCAGAUUAAUGGCCACAAAUGGGAAGGUGACUGAAAAAUCUGGCACAUCGGAUUGCGAUGAAGAUCGGAUAUCCACUUGUAACAUCACUAAGGCUGGGAUUGGGGGCCCUCUUAUUGACACUUGUGGGAAUUUUGUUGGUAUGAACUUCUAUGGCGAGAAAAGAACUCCUUUUUUACCAGCGAGUGUACUUUCGAAGGUCUUGGGGGAGUUUAUUGGACAAUGGCCUGAGGAUGCCUUGCCUAUUAUUGGCAAUGCUGAUGAAAAAAGGUGGAAAGUGCCCGAGCCAUCGUGGAUGAGUUCACCUGUGGAGUCACUUGUCGAGAUAGUUUGCCGGCAGCCAACCUACUGAACUUGGCACGGCUGGAUUAUAAGUGCUUGGUGCUGAUGAUGUGGGGUAGCUUCACUUGUACUGCUGUUUUGUACGGUACACUUAACCAAAUUUAUUUGUCAUGGUAAAAGAUUAUAUUUGUACUCCACGGUUUAACUCAUUCAAGUAGAAUGCUAAUGGGUCGCAAUAGAAGUUGGUAAAUGCUAUGUUGACAUUAUGGUGAAAACUAGUGGAAGCCAUAUUUUAAUGUUUUCAAAGAUUAAGGGCAUCUACUGUUGGACAGGGCAAAUUUGACUCAGAUGUUUGUGGACGUGCUAGGUCAGUGUCCGGCCGUGUCUGUUUUGACUCCUUAUUUGUUGUUUCAGG
rnacentral:rRNA from 1 species